rnacentral:rRNA from 1 species
UACGGGGGGGGCAAGCGUUGUCCGGAAUUAUUGGGCGUAAAGAGCUCGUAGGCGGUUUGUCGCGUCUGCUGUGAAAACUCGGGGCUUAACCCCGGGCCUGCAGUGGGUACGGGCAGACUAGAGUGCGGUAGGGGAGACUGGAAUUCCUGGUGUAGCGGUGAAAUGCGCAGAUAUCAGGAGGAACACCGGUGGCGAAGGCGGAUCUCUGGGCCUUACCUGACGCUGAGGCGCGAAAGCUAGGGGAGCGAACAGG